UUCCACAGCUACUGGUCUGCAACUGUUCUUACAGUAGCAGUUGUAGCAUUCCUCUGUGGGAAAGAAACUUACACAAUUUAAUUCCUCUUUCUUACCAGACAGAAAGAAGAAUAUGCGUGACAGACACAA
ensembl:snoRNA small nucleolar RNA SNORA41